GAUGAACGCUGGCGGCGUGCCUAAUACAUGCAAGUCGAGCGAACGGACGAGAAGCUUGCUUCUCUGAUGUUAGCGGCGGACGGGUGAGUAACACGUGGAUAACCUACCUAUAAGACUGGGAUAACUUCGGGAAACCGGAGCUAAUACCGGAUAAUAUUUUGAACCGCAUGGUUCAAAAGUGAAAGACGGUCUUGCUGUCACUUAUAGAUGGAUCCGCGCUGCAUUAGCUAGUUGGUAAGGUAACGGCUUACCAAGGCAACGAUGCAUAGCCGACCUGAGAGGGUGAUCGGCCACACUGGAACUGAGACACGGUCCAGACUCCUACGGGAGGCAGCAGUAGGGAAUCUUCCGCAAUGGGCGAAAGCCUGACGGAGCAACGCCGCGUGAGUGAUGAAGGUCUUCGGAUCGUAAAACUCUGUUAUUAGGGAAGAACAUAUGUGUAAGUAACUGUGCACAUCUUGACGGUACCUAAUCAGAAAGCCACGGCUAACUACGUGCCAGCAGCCGCGGUAAUACGUAGGUGGCAAGCGUUAUCCGGAAUUAUUGGACGUAAAGCGCGCGUAGGCGGUUUUUUAAGUCUGAUGUGAAAGCCCACGGCUCAACCGUGGAGGGUCAUUGGAAACUGGAAAACUUGAGUGCAGAAGAGGAAAGUGGAAUUCCAUGUGUAGCGGUGAAAUGCGCAGAGAUAUGGAGGAACACCAGUGGCGAAGGCGACUUUCUGGUCUGUAACUGGCGCUGAUGUGCGAAAGCGUGGGGAUCAAACAGGAUUAGAUACCCUGGUAGUCCACGCCGUAAACGAUGAGUGCUAAGUGUUAGGGGGUUUCCGCCCCUUAGUGCUGCAGCUAACGCAUUAAGCACUCCGCCUGGGGAGUACGACCGCAAGGUUGAAACUCAAAGGAAUUGACGGGGACCCGCACAAGCGGUGGAGCAUGUGGUUUAAUUCGAAGCAACGCGAAGAACCUUACCAAAUCUUGACAUCCUUUGACAACUCUAGAGAUAGAGCUUUCCCCUUCGGGGGACAAAGUGACAGGCGGUGCAUGGUUGUCGUCAGCUCGUGUCGUGAGAUGUUGGGUUAAGUCCCGCAACGAGCGCAACCCUUAAGCUUAGUUGCCAUCAUUAAGUUGGGCACUCUAAGUUGACUGCCGGUGACAAACCGGAGGAAGGUGGAGAUGACGUCAAAUCAUCAUGCCCCUUAUGAUUUGGGCUACACACGUGCUACAAUGGACAAUACAAAGGGCAGCGAAACCGUGAGGUCAAGCAAAUCCCAUAAAGUUGUUCUCAGUUCGGAUUGUAGUCUGCAACUCGCCCACAUGAAGCUGGAAUCGCUAGUAAUCGUAGAUCAGCAUGCUACGGUGAAUACGUUCCCGGGUCU
rnacentral:rRNA from 1 species